UCAUAUGUCUAAGUAUCUGAAAGGCCUAAAAACCUUGAGGGCACCAGAUCAUGUAUGAAAUCGAAGCAGAUCAAUGCUGAGUAGUACUUGGAUGGGAGACCACCAAGGAAUACUAGGUGCUGUAUGCU
rnacentral:rRNA from 11 species